CCUAAUAAGAAUCAGUAUUAUAGUGAAGGUUAGUAGCUUUCAAGUGUGAUCACAGCUACUUUACUUGUUCUUUCAUUUGCUUGGUUGACAUCUAAGUGCUUUUAUUUUUACUUAUGCAACUUCCAAGGAAUUAUUUGAAUAUUAAACAAUUUGUACCUGCCUUCCUCCCAAAAGGAUCUGAGAGAAGGUGGCUCCGUUUACAGCCAGAUUGCUUAUGUCAAUCUGAAAAAUUGUGCACCAUCUAAUCCCACAGUUGGGCAGAAUAAAAAGAGUAGCUGAGCACAAAUAGAUAUUGAGAUGCUUUCUUGCUUUUCAUAAGUCAUGAAUUUAUAGUAUUGGCCUCAUUAUUUGGUUUGAAGAUAAGUGAAUUCCUAGAAAUUCAGAGACUGUAAUAAUCAAGUACAAAAAGCACAUUCUUAAAGCUAAAUAAUUUGUAGACUAAAUAUCUCUAGGUAUUAUUCACAUCUCUUUUUCAUUAGAGAACCGUCAUGGGUUCAUCAGAUAUAUAUACAUUAAAUAAAUUUUAAUUUUUUUACCUAAGCAAACACAAGAGUUAUACUACUAAAAAUAUUUAAAGGGAAUGAUACAAUUCUAUGUUAAGGCAUCUAAAUAACUACCAUUUAUCCAUGAAGUUGGGUGUUUGAAUAUUUAUUAGAUCAGUGUCCUAGUUUUUCUAGCAUAAUACUUACUCCCAGAGAUCUGAUUAGAUUAGAGCUAUGUUAUUUAAGAUGAAUGAUUUGAAAACAUUAGUGACUGUUACCAGGGUAACCAGAUGCGAAUUGCUCUGAUUAAAUAUUUGUUGUUUAAAUUUCAUAUUCCAGAUUGCUAACAGAUGCAGUUAUUCAAAAAAAAUUUUAAUGGUACUUGGUAAAUUAUAAACUUAAAAACCAACUAAUUACAGUUCAAAGACUAGUCUGUGUAGAAAAAGCAUUUUGAAAUUAGGGGAAAUAGCUAUUUUUAGUGUUUUCACUCAAUUUAUUCUUAAUCAGGAUCGUUUUCAGAAGCAAGAUUAUAUAUAGUAACUAGUAGACUAGGUUUAGAAAAGUGAAAAAGUCUUCACUAUUUUUAGAGACAUUUGAAGUUUUGAUUUUGGAAUGAGUUAUAAUUUUCAGUUACAGAGUUACUAAGAACUUUAAAAACUGGUAAAAAGGAAAUUAAAAUGUGAAUUCAGCAAUAUCAUGAAAAUUAAAUAACACUUAUAGUUUUGACAGGAUAAAAAGGAAAUACAUUUGUGAUUAUUACCUGUUCCCACUCCAUUCCCACUGGGCAUCCCACUGGGUUUGGGCCUAGUAGGUCUUGUAGUUGUCCUAUUCAGAACUAAAAUAAAGUGGGAUAUAAAUAGUUCAUUUUCUUAUUGAAAGUUUGCAGCCGAGAAAAACAAAAUUUCUCAGAGAAUUGAAAGUCAUUUAGGCAAUAAAAAAGAUGACUUACCAAAAAUAUUAUUCAGAAUAUAGAAACCACAGUCUCGUAUAAAAAUAAUAGACUUGAAUUUGAAAAUAGAGACCUGAAUUUGUAUUCUGAGGUGAUCACUGGGCUUCAAUACUUGACUUGAAAAAGUAACUGGCAAGGGAAUUUAUAAUCCGAAGUGGGAAAGAUCUUGUUUCAUUUAUAGGCAUUAGAUACAUUCCAAAAUGGAACUGAAGAAAGAUCAGGACUACAUAUGUCUAAUGAAAAACCAAAAUCUGAAAUGUAUUUGUCAAGGCCUCCAUUCAUAAGUUGGAGUCUUUCCACAUCCUUUUGUGGGAAUCCCUAGGUACAGAGGUUUCAUUAUACUAGUCCUUUCACAAAGUCCAUUGCCAAGCACAGAACUUGAUGAAACCAUUUUACUUUCUUUCCUGCUUGGGAGAAAGUCAUAGCCUUACCAAAGCCUUGAGAGGUGAUCUAUUUUAUAACCCAUUUAGAAGAUUCUUUAAGGAGGAGCACUAAGUGUACUGUGCUUAUGUGAGAAGCUCUGGAGCCAUACUGCUCAUCUUUUGAUCCACUUUCUAGUUCCUCUGUGUGCCUCAGCUUCCUCAACUGUACCUCACAGGGCACAUGGCCAGUGCUCGGUCAUUAUUAGCCAUGAUUGUUACUACUUAGUUUUUAGAAAUGUUUAAUAUAACCAGUCUCACAUUAAGCUCUCAACACCUAUCAUGACACACAAAGUCAGAGAGAAAUACACAUGGUUAUAGAAGAUUUCUGUGCCCAAUUAUCUUUAGAAGUUGGAAAAUUAUAACAAAAUAUAUGGACUCUACAUAAACCAAAUAAUAUAAAAUUAUUGUUAUAAAGAUGCAUUCCCCGAGAACAUUCAUUCGUAGCAGGUUUCAUCAUUUGGAACUUUAAGAGUCCUUAGAAUCACAAAGAAAAAGAAAAUGAAACACCAGUGUGUGGUCCAACUUGUGCCUCAGCAUAAGAGUGAUUUACAUGAACUAGAUCAACCCCUGCAAGUUAACUUUUUUUCUGAACAAGCUCCAAUGAGGGUAAUCCUAGGACCUUUGGAGAAUUUAGUAAAUUUAACGUAUUUCCCAAUAUAUAACUAUUUUUGCUGUUUAUAACUUGUGAUAUUUUUAUUCUCUGAAGGAAUCAAGUAAAAAUGUUCUCCCAGAACAAGAGCUUUCCUGUGCUGAAAAGAGACCCUCUUUUCUUCAGAGAGAAAGAAUAUCUGAAAAAAUGACAGAAAAUGACAUCUGGUGCCCUGCCUAUCAAAAGAGGACAAGCAAGGAGCAAGAACUCAGAUAAUCCCUGGGCCAAUUAUCCAGGACCUGCACAGAAAGGCAUCCUAAUGAAGACUUGCUGAAGGAAUGAAUAAGUGGGUGACCAUUGUAUGCAGGCAAACUUGUGAGAACCUGCUGAGAUAUUAAUGCAUCCUAAGGUUUUAAGGUAAGCAUUCAUCCUGGAAUUCAUCUAUUCCAUGCUGCUUCUCCUGUCCCCACUUCCCUAUCACAUACUGCCUCCUGCCACCAGCUUUCUUGGUAAUGUUUUUGGAAAAAUUUUUUCUUGCAAACUUUGUAAGUAGAUUACAUCAUUUUAAUGAUUUUAUUCACAUAUUGAGUGGAUAUUUAUAUAGCCAUAAAUCAGCAAUGCCUUGCCUACUAAGUUAAAAAAGUAUGCCUGUGAAAUUGGUUAUAAUGUAGCUCAUUUAUAAACUUCCAAUGUAAAGACUGUGAUGAGCAGAAUUUUGCCAUACUUCAAACCAACAACAGCGGACACACACUGAAAUUCUCUAUAGGUUUAUUUUGGGCCUUCCCAAGUAUAAUAACCAUAAAAAUUAAUUCUCACAGACCCUAAAGUGCCUGAUGAUUAUUUGCAAUUUUUUUCUUCCAAGUUUGAGAUGGUGGGAUUCCCUGUUAAUUUAGCCUAUUUCUUCUUUCCACAUAAAUCCCUUUGAAUGUUAGGUUGCUUCUGCUUAAAAAAGAUAAGAAUCAUAGUUCUUGUCUCAUUCUAGAAUAUGUAUAAAUUUUAAGACUUUGGACAGGAAAGAGAUUGAGAGUAGACCACAGAAAUAAUCAGCACUACAUGAUUUCAAAGCCAUGGCAUCUGAAUUUUUGUUUUAGUUUUCUCCAUAGUCUUCAUUUAAGUCUAGAAAGAAUUUUUUUAUAAAAGAGCUUAAAUAUAAUUUAAGUUUAGGUUGUAACUUACUCAUAUAGCUCAUCACCAAACAAUAUAUGGCCUUGAGGGUUUCAAUUUUAAACAUAGUACAAGAGCUAAGGAUAUAAGAAAAAAGUCAGCAUGUACAAAUAUGUUAAGACAAUUUAUAUAAUGAUAUGAGAUCAUGGAUAUACUCCCAAUAACAGGUGAAAUUUAUAUUUAAUACAAUAUUUUGAAGGAAUUUGAUUAAAAUUCCAUAUAUACUAGUAAUGGUGACACAAUAUUCUCUUUAAAGUAGGAAAAGGCAAAACGAGGAAAGAACAGGCCUGUGAUCUUUUAUCCUCAUUCUGAAAUCCUUAAAUCUCUAAAAAGCUGAAAUCUUUCUCAUUUGGCAACACAACCUGUGUGGAAUGAAAGUCUUUAUUUAUCCUGCUUGUUGUAAAUAUUUAUGUAUUUUGUGGUAAAAACAGAUUGAUUAUGAGAAUCCAGCUAUCUUCUCUUAAGCCAGAAAUUAAAGAGAUUUGCAAAAACAUGAAAUAAUAAACAUACAGAAAUCAGGGUGGAAUAGGGAUGUAUCACAACGGAACAUCUGUUCAUUGCUGAGGCUGGUAAUAGAGAUGUGAGAGGGCUGUCAAUAUGUUAUACUUCAGACUUCUGUGUGUAAUUAUAAAUUAACAGCAAAUAAAAAUUAAAUGAAGUAAUUGAAUAAAAGUUUAAAACGUAACAAAAAGUUAAACCAAACAAACAAUAAAAAAGAUUUAGAAAAUUUAGAGGAACUGCCCUUUACUAUAGUCUUUCUUAGUCACGUUUACUUGUAAUAAAUAUUGCCCCAGUGACACAUGUACUUUAAAAUGAGAUUUCUUUCAUUAUCAUUUCCUCUUAUUAUCAAACUUCUCCCACCAACUUUCCCCCUCAAAUUAGAACUCAUAAUGGGCAACAUACAUUUAUUUGUGUUCUAACUCCCUAAAUGUUUGCUGGUUUUGGUCUUAUUUUUGGCUUUCUACCAUCUGAUAGAGGCAGAGAUGGGCAAAAGGGGUAUUAGCAGUCCACAAGUGUUAUAACCUAAGUAGGAUAGUAGGAUAGAAAAGUGUAAAGAGGAAAAGACUUCUGAGUGCAUGAAGAUGAGAUAGAGCUUUGUGUAGGCGAGUUCACUUCCCCAAAAGCAGAAAAUCACAGAGAAGAAAUAAAAAGUAGGAAAUCACUUCUCUGGAUGUUUAAAUAUUGUCAUAAUUUUGAAAAAUGAUUUUUCUUUUUAAUAGCUUUUUUCUUAUUAAUGUAUUUCAUCAAAUGGGGGAAGAUUGGAGAAAGUGAGAAAAGGAGAGAAGAGAAGGAGGAGGACCAGGAGGAAGUUAGAGAGGGAGCAGGAAGAGGAAGACAACAGUUAUUAUUUAUCAGAUAUGGAAAACGAGGCAAAUGAAGGUCAAAUGUGUGGAAAAAAUGGGAUCUUCCACUCUUAGUUAUAAGCAUCAAGUAGUCAACAAUACAUUAAAAAAAGUAAGUGCCAGUGAAAGAACUGGUCUUGCCUACAUUCAAUUGAUAUUCAUAUGAGUAUUCAGAUUUGGCUGAUUUCUUUCACCUAUAAAAUGACAAAAAAAGUCAAGUAAUCCACUGUGUUGAGAAAUGACAUUCUGAAAGAAAAUUUCUUUCCUGAUUAAAAGCAAAUAAGGAAAAGUUAUUCUCCAGAGGUAGGGGAGAGGAUUACCCUGAGUUGUCUUUGCUAGUUCAGUUGUUCGUGGAAUCUUAGUUGUGAAAGGUUCUUGGGUGGAUUGGUCUGUUUCUUCUAGAGAAAACACAGUAAGAUUGCUUGUUUUAAAUAAUUAACAUUAUGAAUAUGACCAAAAAAACCCAUACUCUUUUCUGUCCCAUGCAAUAAUAAAAGGAUAAGUUGCAUUUAGAAAUACACUCAGUAAUCACAAUAAUUCAAAGUUAGUGGUACAUUUUAAUAACUCUCAUUUAUGAUAUCUGCUGUUUUACACUAUUAUUUUAAUGAUUGUUAUAAGGAUUUCCAAAAGCUUUUAGCUCAGGAUCAUUGUAUCAUUAAUCUAGUUGUGGCUAUUCUUGGAUAUGGCUCAUGUAUGAAAGUCUCCUAGUUGCCUCGAUGUAUUUAUCUCCUUCAUGUUUCUUUCCUGCCCAUAAAUCUCACAUGUUAUUUUGAUGAGCUGGAAAGGAAGUAUAUCAUAUGAAAAGAUGUAUAUUUACAUCACAUAAAACAAAUAUUCUAUUUUUCUCAUGUGAAAAUCAGAGCGUAUGUUUGACAUACAAACACAAUCCUCUUGACAAAAUAAAAAAAAUACAUACAGCAAUACUCCCAUUCCCAUGUUACCUUGAAAUCAUAUAUUAUAUAGACACAGCAAAUUACACUGUUCACUUUGCCCAUAUUGGAUCCAAGGAAAUACUUGGUAUAAAUGAUACACUGCUAUCUUUUUGUUUUCUGUCCUGCUUUUGUAUUCUCUUGAUUCUGCUCAAGAAAUACACUUGUGAUAAUUGACAGGCAAUGGUUCUGAUGUGAAUAAACCAAGACACAUUAGAAAAAUAGGGAGUAGAAGUUAAAUAAUUAGCAUAUUCAGUAGUGGUUUUUGAAAAGUACUUUUAACUUUGCCAUCAUGGGCACUAUUGAUUUUGCAGAAAUAAGCUAGAUUAGAUGAAUAUUUGAUUAGAAUAUAUUUGCUCAAUUUUAAUUUUUCUUCCAAAAGGAUUUUAUUUUAAAAUGUGAUCAGUAACUUUAUUUCAGUAGAUACCCACAAAGGAUGGAUUAUUAGAAAAGGAAUGAAGGGAGACAAAUAGGGCCACUGACUUAAACAAAGCCAUAUGGGAUGCAAUGUAGACAGGAGAGAGGAGCCAACAAACACAAGCCAGAACUUUAGCUUUUUGGUUCAUUUUCAACCAAGAGGCAGGCAAACUGGAGUUUCCCACACAGCACAUUUGUGUUGAACUCCUUGAAAGCAUGUUCAGCUCAUCCCAGUGGACCUUUCCAACUUACCCAUCCUUGUUUCUCCAGGCAACUACCUGCUUAUCAGUUUAGUCUAACUGUCAUUCCUUGCCCUGUGCCUCUUUCCCAUCUGUCCGUAACUUCAAAGAACCAUUUGCAUCUUUGACUGGUCAACUUUCAUUCCAACUUGAAGACCCAGUGUAAAUGACCCUAAUCUGAGAGGCCUUUCCUUAUUUCUCCAGGUAGUUUGUUUGUUCAACAUGUUGCUCUUUUCUCUAUCACACUCAUUGUAAUUAGUAUAACAUUGAUGUUAAUCCUAGGCACCCUGUCGGCUGAGUGUGUAGAUUCUAAUCCUGGCUCUGACACCAGCUGUUUCACCUUGGCCAAACUUUUAAACCCUCUACGCCUCAAUUUUCUAAUCUGUAAAAUGGAACAAGUAAUAGAACUUACUUCACAGAGUUACAUGGUUUACAUUUUAAAAAGGCAUGUAGUGUAUUGGGUGGCACAGAGGCUGCAGUAUUAUAACCAAGUCCUGUCUUCAUAUUAGAGGGUGAGCCCUCUAGUGUAAGGACUCCUCUUUAAAAGUUUCUUGUUAGAACUGCAUCACCUAACAGUGCACCCAGUAAAGGCUUAAUAAAUACUAGAUAAGUAAUUUUUCUUCCCAAAUGCAGUUUAAAAUACAGAAAAAGCAACAAAAAAGAACAGCAUUGAUUUAGGAACAUUUUUCUUUUUAGAAUACUUAAAAUUCUUAAGUAUUCUAAAUCACACUUAAUCACCAGAGCCAAUUUAACACAUCUUAGAUGUGUUAAAACAUUCUCAUUUUAUAUUGAAAAUCAGCAUAAAUAUUAGGACAAAUACACAGUUAAUGUAAAAGUAUUGAGUGAAAUGGAUUUUUAAAUAACCUAUUAUUUAGAAAAAAUCUGUGAACAUAAUGUAUUAUGGUUACUUUAAGGGAAAUUCCUAAAAGGCAAGCUCUCUUUGAACAAAUAUUAAAACGAAAUUUACCCAGAGUGGUCUGUAGUUCCUCUUGACUAGGACUUGGGGAAAUCAUGGGUAUAAAAGGGAUGCCUCGUGUCUCUAGAGGAGCUGCAAAAAGAAAAGGACCAAGGUUGUAAAUUUUUAGAUUCAAAGCCAGCACCAGACCAGAUUGGUAUUACAUGAAAUUCCUUCAUUUGAAGUAGAAAAAGGAAAGAAGAAAGUUAAGUGUGCACACGACUUUCAGAAAAAUGACUGCGGAAUAUUAGAAAAAUGGUUCUCAACUGUUUUUCCACCAGGACACAUACUACAUGACAUUCUGUUCUUGAACCAAUCCAUCAGAAUGGCUGGUUGAGAUGGGGUGUGGGUUAGACACAGUCCUGGACUAUUGGCUGUAGCUCUGUCCCUCUCUCCCCCGUUCAAGAGAGCAUGCAUGAUUACCAAAUGAGUGAGAAUAUCAUCAUUGUUGGUAUCAUCUCCUUGAGUCUGCUUGAGUAGACUCAAGUAACAAAUCACUGGGAAUUUUCAGUAUUUUGACCAAUAUUGAUAAUUACUUGCAGUAUCUUUCAAACUUACCACAUACUAGUAUGUUACAUUACAGCUGAGAACCACUAAACCAAUGGAAAUUGUUAAAUGGGCACCAUUAGUAAACAUACUGGACUCAUUUUGAAACAUGGAGAUAGAUGAAGUAAAUGAAGAUGUAUUCAGUAAUGUCUUAAGGUGGUCUUCAAAGCAAACCCAUUACAACACUGAAAUAAUUGCUUUUCUGUUUUGGAAAGAGUAAUAAUAAUGAGAAUGAAAUGAUGAAUGGAUUGAGAAGAAAUGAUGUUUCAACAGGAUCAUUUGAGAAAGGCCUGCAAUCUUGAUGGUAGCAAAGAAAACAGAGUUGGUCAAUAUGGGAAAACCAUUACCUAUUGUUGUCUUUGGUGGCUCAAAUCUAAAGGUAACAGGCUGCAGAACUAUGCCAAAAGCAAGCCAAAGGAACAUAUUUAUGAGAAUUACUACCUGGCAAAGUCAAAAUAGUUUCCUUAUUUUUUAGAUGCAUUGAUUUAAUAAUUUAAAUGUUCUCUAAGAAUUGUAAUAAAUAAGAGAAAAUUCUUCACAUUAGAUGCCAAUCAGAGAACUUAGUUUAACUAAAACUUUGAAGUUCUCAUUCACUGUCACUUUGGGGAAAAUUUCGAGUAGGCACCCACUUUUUUUUACUUAAAAGUACAUCCAUAGUUGUAAUGUAGCUACAUUUACAUUUUGAAAGGAUAUAAGCGUUGGCUUAGUUAACAAUGAUAUUUAUAAUUUUAGCGUGAUCUACUCAAUGAACCUAUAUACUAUUCCCUCACUUCACCAAGGAAAAAUAUUUCAACCAGAUGAUUCAAUUUACCCACAAGAAAUAUGCAUUUUAUACCCAUAUUUUUUCUCUAAAUUUCUUCCAUAUCACAACCAUUAAAAAUAUAUUUACUUCAAGAAUUUUUUUUUUUGAAAAAUAUACUUCUUAGCCAGAAGGAUGAAAUAAUUAAUUUACCAGGUUCGCUCUGAGAGACCUCAGGGUAUGGUUUAUGAGGAAGGAGCACAUCUUUUGGAGCUGAAAGAAAAAGAUUAUAAAACACUGCAUACUCUAAAUAACCCAACUGGAGUGAGCUUAACCCACAGAUAUAAAAAUCCCAGAAAGCAUGAAUGAAGCAAAAGUAUUUUUACAAUGGUUAAUGACCAAAGUUGAGAAGAUGCCUGUUUUCUUCAAAAUGGAAAAAUGUUACCGUGCAGGGAAGGUUCUGGUGGCAGUGAAACAGAAACGAAGUCAGUCACAGUUCAUUUUGAAGUCUUCCUUGAGGAAGAGGAGGAGAUAGCUAACAUAAUUAAACAAUGAGGUAGAGCUCCCUCAAGUGGCUUUCAAAAUAGAAAGUCAGUUUUUGCACAAAGUGGUUAGCUGCUGUUUGAUAUUCAUGCUUAAAGUCCACUAACAGCAACAAAAAAUAUGUAUCUUAGAUAAAGUACAAAAGUGGCUACAAAUUGGGGGAAACAAUAAGAAAUGGAAAAAUCUUGAAUAUGUAAGAAGAUAACACAGUCUUAUUCUAAAUGGCACUUACCGUUGCUGGGGGGAGAAAAUGAAGCAAAAGGAAUCAGCUAGUCAUUAGAAGAUACCACAUGUAAAGUUAAUGAUAGUGCUUGUUACUUAGUAAAUGAUAGCUGUUGCCAUUUUUGUCUUCUUUAGUGAUGUGGCUUCCAGUAUAUUAGGUGUCAAGCAUGCUUGACAUAAGCAUAUGAAAACAAGACAAAAAUGUCAGCUGAACAAUAGGCCUACUCGUAUAUGCAGUGCCUGAAAUCCAGUAUAUUUUUUAAUGUUUGUGUUCUAUUUUAGCAAAAUUAAACAGUAGAUUGGAAACUUGGUACCGUAUUUCUCAGUGGGGAAAAUAUUAGGGUGAUUUGUCUAUUUGUUAGUACCAGAUUUCUGCAACAAAAUCUCAUUCCACAAAUAGUGUAAAGUACUUCAACUCAGUUUCCCCACAAACCUACCCAGGCCUACUCUCUCAAUGAAAGGUUUUCCUACCACACUAAACCUUUCAUACACACCAGUGUCUUUUUGUCAGGCAAUGUAAUUUCCUUGCAUCUUAUAUAAUGCUGGAAAAAAAAUUAUGAUUCAGGCUAGAACUCUGCCUCAGAAGAAAGAUGAAGAAACUGUUUUUUUUUUUUUUUUUUAUUAUGAGGUGGCCAAGCACCACUUUACCAUUAGUGGAGAAAUAGGUUAUAUAAAAUGAACAAUCUCUUUUUAUUGUUUUUGGGAAUCAUGUUUAACUUGCAUGCCACAUCUGUUCUUAGACUAGGCUGCUAAGUAUUAGUGAAAUUACAAUUGUGAAAACUGGUACACUGAACAGAAACUUGACUCAGAACUUUUAUGAGCUAAAAGGUAACAUCCAAGGGAAUUUGAAAAUAUGGAUUGUUUUCUUAAAGAAAAAAGGAAACUUUAAAAAGAUUAGUGGUUGAUAAGGUAGAGAAAGCCCACCACAAUAGUGAACAUUUUGCUUUUGCAUGUGGUUUUUUUUGGGAUUCAAAUAGUAACAUAUGAGAAAUUUCCAGCUGUAAAUGAAACAAAAUGUUUAUCUUGAGGCUGAAGAAGGCACUUUGAUUUAGCUCUGUGAAGGCCAUGAACAUUCAAAGCAGCCUUUAGUUUAUAAAUACUCUAAUUAGUUACAGUACUACACCAAACAAAAAGGAGCUGGGAUUAAGGAAAGGAGAAGCUGAGAAGAGAUGUGGUACUAAUAAAUCCACCAUACUGUAAAUACAUUAUUCACUGCUGCUCUAGUUUACUGAGGAAUUUAGGCUGGGGUAAUGUGGAUUCCAGCUGCUAAAAUUGGCACUUUUCUUUUUAACCGUGAAGUGAUGAUUUAAUAAACUGUCAUAGCAGACUUCCUAAGCAGGUGAAAUCAGUGGAAAGGAAAGAAAUAGAAAUAUUUACAGGAAAGUAAUAUGAAUCAUUCUCCUACUUGGUCAACUACAGCUCCAAGAAAUUCAAGUUGUUUUUUCUUUUUUUCCUAUGUGGCAUUCCUCUGUAUGUUAAAUUGAACAAGAGCACGGUCCCUAAAACGUACAUCUUUCAUGCUGGGAGAAACUCAUCAAUGAAAAUAAUGAUGACAAUUUUCUGAGAAAGCAGUUUUGAUUUCUUUAUAAUAAUAUUUACUAUUAUUAUAAUUUUAGAUUUAAUUAUAUUAACCAACUUAUACCAUUUAUACUAACCAAUCUGUCUUUUUGAAUAAAGUGUGCCACUCCAAAGAAAAGCCAACACAAGUAGGAAUGCACAAUGUCUGUCAUAGAUAAACGUAAAUGAAUGUGCAUGAAUGUUUUGAUAGAGUUAGAAAAUAAUUAAUGUGUUUGCUUUUGAUAAAAUUAGAAUAUGAAGUCUGCAAUAAGGUUUACCCUGGCAAUAGGCUACAAAGAGACUGAUUCUCUUAAAAAAGUAAGACAUAUAGACUACAUACCAUAUUCUAUUCCUUUAAUCUAUACUCUCUAUUCCUUUAUUCUAACCUUGUACCAUUAGGUCCAGUCUGAGUCUGAGAGGAAGCCCCGUUGGAGGCUACCUGCUGGCUUUCCCUGUGCUCUUGGGCCACCCUCCCUUCUAUCUCAUUUGAGGCCUUUUACUUUCCAUUAUUUCUGUUAUAUUUUUCUCUAUUUGUCCAUGUUUUCAUUUCUCCAUGUUACUUCCCCUCUACCUACAAAACAGCUCGAAUGCUCUAAUAUCUUUAAAAAAAAUCAUUUCCUUGACAUGGCUUCUCCUUCAAACAAUCCCUCUCUCUUGCUCUCAUUCCUUUAAUAAAAAAACUAUAUAUCUGCCUUGGCUUCCUCACCUUUUAGAUGUAUUUUCUUCAUCCACUGUGGUCCAGCCUCCACUCAUUUCCUGCAACAGUGCCUUCAUCAUAUUCUUAGGUCCAGAAACUCUGAAAGCUGAGUUUUCUCUUAAUCUAUUCAAUAGCAAAACAUAACUUGUACUGAUCUAAGGGCUGUUUAUAGGUUUUAGUUAUUCUGCUUGGGAAGACUAUUCAUACUGCUCACUGAAUACAUAUUAAUGUUUCUAAUCAAUGGUAUAUGUACUCACGUAAGUUUCUAAAAUCUGGAAACUGCUAAUUCUGAAGCAUGCAGCCCAAAGGUUUCAGAGAGUGGGAUUCUGGGCAUGCACAGUCAAGCUGGCAGCCUCUUCUGACCCCUCUCCAUCUCAUUGCCACUGCAAUGCCAUUGCCAACCUUCUCUUCUUAGGCCUUUUCCUGCCUCAUCUCCCAACUCCUUUCCUGAUUCUCUCUUAUCUUUUUUGACAACAUCUGGAAGCUCUUUUUCCUGUGCCUACUCCUUGAAUAUAACUAUGCUGCCUAAAUAUUGGAUUUCCGGUUUCUUAUUUUCUCCAUCUAUAUUUUCUCCUCUAUGAUAUUAUCCAACAUUUAAGAACUAUCUAGAUGUAAACAAACAGCUCCUAAAUCUCUGCCCCAAAUCCUGACUUCUGUUUAGAAGUCCAGAAAACAUCUUCAACCAUCAGUUAGGGUCUUCCCACUCAAAGUCCUACUGGUCCUGCAAGGCUAGCAUGUACACACCCAUCUUUAUUCCUCUCUCUAUUCCCUGUUUCAGUUAACGGCAUCAUUAUCUACUAGUUGGCCAGUCUAGCAAUAGCAUUGUCACCCUUCUCUCCAUAACAGCAUUCAGUCAUUCUCUAGGUCUUUGUAGUUCCAUAUCCAAAAGCAUUUUCAGCAUUAUUCCCUUAGUUUCCUUUCUACCACAAUUAGUUCAAUUUCUCAGACUUAUCUUUCUAGAUUGUUGCAAACCUACUAAGUGAUUCCUGGCUAUUAAUCUUUUUUUUUUUUUGCCUGUUAAUAUUCCAUUUAAAAAAAUCACAGCCAUCUUUCUAAAAUACAGAUGUAAUUAUAUCACUCCCAUGAUUACAAAAAGAAACACACACAAUUUUAAUGUCUCCUAAUUGUCUAAAGAAAAAAAAUUUGAAGUGCUUAGCAUAACCUAAAAGCCUUCAAACAUAUGAAUCCAAUUUACAUUAAGUCUUCAUCUCUCAAUAAUCUCAUCAUAUGGCCAGGAAUGUAGUCAUUCUGAGUCAUGCUGUUUCUCAGCUAUAUGGAGCACGGAGUCUCACUCUGUCA